rnacentral:lncRNA from 1 species
CAAAGGGUGCGCAGACAUAAGGCUGAGAGACGAACAGUCAAACUCUCUCCAAAGAACCUCAACCCUGCCCAGCUCCCUAACAAAGCCCCACACCCCUCGGCGCUUCAGAGAGCGGGGCCGGACUCCGCUUCGCCCGUCGCGGUAGUCGGCGCACUGCAGUGCAGGGCGCCGCAGGCCCGUGCCGCUGUCUUCUCACGCCCCCUCAGGAGCCCGCCUGGCCCCCGCCGCCAUGUUGGGCUGGCAGGCGUGACACGGCCUGGCCUCCCAGUCGCCCGCGGACCCCGCACAGAGAUCCGGCGCCGGAAGGCGCUCCAAGCAGGCAGCAGGGCGCGAGUUCCGGUGAGCGGGCGCGCGCAGGUAGCUGCAGCCCCCGCCCCGCGCGCUGCCGCCCCCGUCGGGAACGGAGGGGCGGGGCCAGCGAGGAGAGGAGGAGAGAGGGAGGCCGCGGGGUGCGGGCGCCCGGGAAUUCCCUCCUCCACAAGUUACGCGUCCCAGGCCGGCUGUGCCGUCGUCGCUGCCUCCCGGCGCCCUGCGAGCAGGAGGUGGAGAAGGGAGAGGGCCCCGCCGGCGUCCGCCUCGGCCGGCCACCUUCUCCCCGCAGCCACCGUGCGAGUGCGGCCAGAGGGCAGGUCCUUCUCAUGGCAGUCUAUCAAAGACUUCAUUGAAGAAGCCGUGAGCUGGGCAUGGUGGCAUUGUCCUGAAUCUCAGUGCAUGGUAAGUGGAGGCAGGAAGAUCUGAAAAGAAACCAGGAAGCUCCAAGUACUUAGCAUAUCAAAACUUAUUUCUUCAGGGUCAGUUGUUUGUGUAUUUAAAGUGUGUAUGGUGAGGGGAGGAGCUUGUUCCCAGAGUAAGUCCGGCAAACUCAGUUUUCUGUAGAUCACAUUUUCUGUUCUUUGACUCUUGGAAAGUUCUUUGUUUGCUUUUUAGUAGAGAGUGUACACACCCCAUCGUAGUCUGCCACUUCCUCCUCUCUCUCCAUGUUUUCUUUUUUAUGGUCCUUCCUGUCCUUUGCGCUUUGUUCUAAAGUAGGUUUUAAAAUGAAACCAGAGAAAAAUCAUUGACUAUUUGUAACUCAUUGAAUUGCUUGACUGGUAGAGAUGCUUGUUAUAUAUCUUUUAAAAGUAAGUUUAUAAAUUAAUCUCUGAAGGUUUUUUUUUUUUAACAAUUACUGGACACUGAACCCAUUGUUUUACACACAUUAGGCACAUACUCUACCUAAUCAUUACCCUUCUGAAAGCUUUCUUAAAGAUUUAGAACUUUGUUGUAAACUGGAGCCAUCUGGGCAAAAUGCCAAACUACAACUUCAUCCUCUAGCUGUUUAUAACAUAUGAUGUCACAAUUGGUUAGCUUACUAAAAUUGGAAAGAAUAUACAUUUAAAUCCUUUUUUAAAGUUCAAAGGUGUUAAGUCUGAGAGUUUUUAGUCUCUAUUACUACUAAUAAAGAGACAAAUUCCUGGUGAGAGGUGGUUUUU